ACGCCUAUAGACCGCCAAGUCGUUAGGAAUCCACGUAUCACGAAGCCACGCACUGACGUCAUCACGCACGUACGCACGCACUGGCCGCCGGGAGACGCUGUUCAGUUUACCGGAUCGUGACGCGCGCCAGCCAACCAGGCCAAGGACAGGGGAGCUCGAAACCGGCAGCCUGGACCAAGAACCGGAAGGAGGAAAAGGAACCCGAGGGAGGAAGAGGAAGAGGAGGGGCAGGACGAGGCCACCAGGCAAGAGUCCAAACUUGCGUGCGGCGACCUAACGGCCCCUCCAGUGUCUACCCCCAGAGGACAUGGAAGUAGCAAGAAGGGCGGGAACACUUGCCUGGGUUCCAUGCAGCUCUAGGCUAAGUCUUGCAGGGCUGUGUGCCCCCAGGCCUGCUCUCCUGUGUCCUAGUCGCUGUCAGUGCCUGCCAGUGGGGUCCAGAGGGACCUUCUUUUUGACGCCUCUUUUGCAAUCUCCCGCAUUGACUUUAUAAGCAAGUUUUGAGUCCCUGCCUCUGGAGUGCCUGAUGAGACAAAACUGCUCCUCGUCCUGCAUCCCCGCUGCUACUUCCAGAACUCAGAGCUCGUGGUCUGGAGCCUGCACUGUUCCAUGAGCCUCCUGACCAACCUGGAAGCCUCUGUCUUUCCUCCCUCAGUGAGAUGCACCUACUUCUCCCUGGAGAAGCUUGAGGAAGCAGGAAUACUGAAGAUGAGACCCAGCACACCCUGCCUGCGCAGCUCUGUGCUGCACCUUCACUCUAGUCACGGGUGUGGCAGUCAGCUCACCAAUUCCUCCUGCUUCCCUGGGACUCGCUGGCUUUUAGCACCGCAAGUCCCUCAGCAAACUGGGACUGUUGAUCACCCUACCCGGCAGCCAGUGAUAAGGUGAGGGCCACUCCUGGGAGGGAGGACACCUGUGGGGAAAAUUCUUGUGUUACUUAUUUCUCCUUCGGGAUAGGGUGCCUGCAGUGCUUCAUGGGAGGGGGUGGGCUGAUGCUGCAAGCUCAGAAGUUUCAAGGGCAUCUAGGGAGACCAGAUAUUCAGAGACCUCCUCCUAGAUGUGCGUGUUCCAUGUAUCAGGGAUGCAGGUUUUCCCAGCAGGACUUGUGUCAUUGGCAUGACAGACCUGCCUUGGCUGAGCGUUCAGCUGUCUUUGGAGUUCAGCCACCUUAGCAAGUCCUGGGUUUGUUCUUCAGACUUUGCUGCUUGCCCAUUGCUUGGAUCGGGGGCUACUUUGUAAACCACCAGGAAGACUCCAGUGUUUCUGCUUAAUUUUUAGAUGUUUGUUAAUUGCCCUUGGCCUCUCAUUAAUCCCGGUGGGUCCUUCAGGAAACAUACCGUUCCCUGAGUUUUCAUUUCCAGGCAUCUGCCCUGCCUGGAUCUCCUCGCCUUCCAGGAGCUUCCUCUUCACAAGCCGGCCAUCCCAGCAAAAGUUCUAACAUCGAAGGUCUAGCAACUAGCCUGCCAUCUUGUGCCUAGAGCCACCUGCGUGCCACCUACCCCCGAAGAUGGGAACCUCGUUGCCAGUUGGGGAGAUGCAGGGCAAUCCUGUACCAAGACCCCAUCUUACCACCUGUUUUCUCGGACCACUCUGGAACCCACUGUCUCAGAUUGGGUCCUCCAGGAAGCAGACUGUGAGAGGGAGUUGGCAGGACCAAAGGUUUACUGGGGCUAACUAACCCUCAGGAAAGGGACAGGAAGGAAGCAGGGCUGGAGAGCAGGUUGAGCCCGACCUGACAGUCUUGAGCAGCCCAGCAGGGAGGUGUGGAGCAAGGGUUGCCCACUAGAGGGGCCUGCAUUGGGCAUGGGUGGUGGGGUCCACAUGGUACCUGGCACACAGCAGGCUGUGCAAUCCAUAUUAACUGCCUGGAUGAAUUAAUGCCCAGGAAAGGUGCCCUGGAGAACGGGUCUGUGCUGAGCACAAUAGGGAAGGGCCCAGCAUCUGCCUUGGCAUAGGCAGAACUGUGCUGUGCCCUGCAACAGGCCACCUGAGAGCUGCUGUCAUCUUGUGUGUGCAUUAGACAACUGUCAGGGGCAUGAAGGGGAUGUGCUUCCAGGGCAUUUGCUGGCAGGGUGUCUCGUGAUCUCUUGGUAUUGGUGUGAGCACAGCCUGGCAGGAGAGGGCAGAUCUCAGUGCAAAGUAUCAUGUCAAAAAGCAGAUCGAAGCCAGGCCCCCUCCUGGAAGAGGCUCC